rnacentral:rRNA from 1 species
CAUGUCUUUUUGAUAAUAAUUUAAAGUUUAAUCUGCUCAAUGAUUUUAAAUAGCCGCAGUAUAUUAACUGUGCAAAGGUAGCGUAAUAAUUAGUUCUUUAAAUGGGAGAUUGUAUGAAUGAUUGGACGAGAAAAUUUCUGUCUUAAGUAAAUUGAUUUUUGAAUUUUAUUUUUAAGUUAAAAAGCUUAAAUAUUUUUAAAAGACGAGAAGACCCUAUAGAGUUUGAUAUUUUAAGUUUUUUUAAUUUUAGAAAUUAAGAAAUUUUUAAUUUAUUUAGUUGGGGUGACUUGAAGAUUAAAAAAAUUCUUCAAAUAAAAAUUAAUGAUAUUUAAAUUUAGAGUUUAUAAGUUAAAAAUAAAUUACCUUAGGGAUAACAGCGUAAUAUUUCUUUAGAGCUCUAAUUUGAAGAAAUUUUUGCGACCUCGAUGUUGGAUUAAAAUUUAUUUUUGGAGUAGUGGCUGAAAAAUUAGGUCUGUUCGACCUUUAAAAUUUUACAUGAUCUGAGUUUAGACCGGCGUGAGCCAGGUUGGAUUCUAUCUUUAUAAAGAUUUUUUAUCUUAGUACGAAAGGACCAGAUAAAGUUUAUAUUUA